UCAGGAGCCAAGCGUCCAGAAGAG
rnacentral:piRNA from 1 species